rfam:Danio rerio chromosome 7, GRCz11 reference primary assembly.
UAGUCAUCAGCUAGCUCUCUGCAACUCUCACUUGGUCACCCACUAAAGCUAAGCAGGGCUGCACCUGGUCAGUACCAGGAUGGGAGACCACAUGGGAAAGCUAGGUUGCUGCCUGC